rnacentral:rRNA from 1 species
GACGAACGCUGGCGGCGUGCUUAACACAUGCAAGUCGAACGGAAAGGCCCUGCUUUUGUGGGGUGCUCGAGUGGCGAACGGGUGAGUAACACGUGAGUAACCUGCCCUUGACUUUGGGAUAACUUCAGGAAACUGGGGCUAAUACCGGAUAGGAGCUCCUGCUGCAUGGUGGGGGUUGGAAAGUUUCGGCGGUUGGGGAUGGACUCGCGGCUUAUCGGCUUGUUGGUGGGGUAGUGGCUUACCAAGGCUUUGACGGGUAGCCGGCCUGAGAGGGUGACCGGCCACAUUGGGACUGAGAUACGGCCCAGACUCCUACGGGAGGCAGCAGUGGGGAAUAUUGCACAAUGGGCGGAAGCCUGAUGCAGCAACGCCGCGUGCGGGAUGACGGCCUUCGGGUUGUAAACCGCUUUCGCCUGUGACGAAGCGUGGGUGACGGUAAUGGGUAAAGAAGCACCGGCUAACUACGUG